rnacentral:rRNA from 1 species
UACGUAGGGACCGAGCGUUGUCCGGAUUCAUUGGGCGUAAAGAGCUCGUAGGCGGCCACUCAAGUCGAAUGUGAAACCUCGAGGCUUAACCUCGAGCCUGCAUUCGAUACUGGGCGGCUAGAGUCUGGUAGGGGGAUCUGGAAUUCCUGGUGUAGCGGUGAAAUGCGCAGAUAUCAGGAGGAACACCGGUGGCGAAGGCGGGUCUCUGGGCCGAUACUGACGCUGAGGAGCGAAAGCGUGGGGAGCAAACAGG